rnacentral:lncRNA from 1 species
UUUUUUGCCAUCCCUACUCUUGAACUACCUCAAUGCAGACGCUACAGGGACUCUCUUCAUGAGAGAAUAGUUUUUCUUUUUCUUUCACAUUUAGCUUUGUAACCAAAAAAAAUUAGAAGUUAUCUAAAAGAAUUUAAUUUAUAUACACUGUCGGUAUAAAAUUAUUUUAUAAAUGCAUCCAAUAGUAUACUGACACAUGUGAUGUGUUUUAAAACACAUGACAUGUCAAAUUUUAUUAAAUGAUGUUGGAAAUUAUUUUAUUCCAAGGAACAUUCAUACCUAUGAAUAAUUUUAUGUCAACCUAGUAACAAACAUGAGUAUUUCUACCCUAAUUCAUAUACUGCAUAGACACUUAUUGCACUGUCAGUCCAAACAUUAUUCAACAAAAGUUUUAAUCAAAAUAUAAUUGUUCAACAUUAUUAUAGACCACAGCUUGUGCCAGUAGAGCUUGAAUGAGAAUGAAUCACUUAUUUCAGCAAUUUAUGCACUUCAGUCAUGUGUCAUUUGUUCAGCUUCAUGCCUGAUGGAUUCAAAAAGUGGCGAAGAC